AUUGAACGCUGGCGGCAGGCCUAACACAUGCAAGUCGAGCGAGCGGCGGACGGGUGAGUAAUGUCUGGGAAACUGCCUGAUGGAGGGGGAUAACUACUGGAAACGGUAGCUAAUACCGCAUACCAUCAGAUGUGCCCAGAUGGGAUUAGCUAGGAGGUGGGGUAAUGGCUCACCUAGGCGACGAUCCCUAGCAGGUCUGAGAGGAUGACCAGCCACCCUGGAACUGAUACACGGUCCAGACUCCUAGGGGAGGCAGCAGUGGGGAUUAUUGCACAAUGGGCGCAGGCCUGAUGCAGCCCUGCCGGGUGUGGGAAGCAGGCCUUCGGGUUGUAAAGCACUUUCAGCGGGGAGGCGUUACCCGCAGAAGAAGCACCGGCUAACUCCGUGCCAGCAGCCGCGGUAAUUC
rnacentral:rRNA from 1 species